GAGUUUGAUCUUGGCUCAGAUUGAACGCUGGCGGCAUGCCUUACACAUGCAAGUCGAACGGCAGCACGGGAGCUUGCUCCUGGUGGCGAGUGGCGAACGGGUGAGUAAUGCAUCGGAACGUAUCCUGGAGUGGGGGAUAACGUAGCGAAAGUUACGCUAAUACCGCAUAUUCUGUGAGCAGGAAAGCGGGGGACCUUCGGGCCUCGCGCUCUUGGAGCGGCCGAUGUCGGAUUAGCUAGUUGGUGAGGUAAAGGCUCACCCAAGGCGACGACUCCGUAGCGAGGUCUGAGAGGAUGAUCUGCCACAC
rnacentral:rRNA from 1 species